rnacentral:rRNA from 1 species
CACGAAGUUAGCCGGGGCUUCUUCUCCGGGUACCGUCAUUAUCGUCCCCGGUGAAAGAAUUUUACAAUCCUAAGACCUUCAUCAUUCACGCGGCAUGGCUGCGUCAGGCUUUCGCCCAUUGCGCAAGAUUCCCCACUGCUGCCUCCCGUAGGAGUCUGGGCCGUGUCUCAGUCCCAGUGUGGCUGGUCAUCCUCUCAGACCAGCUACUGAUCGUCGCCUUGGUGAGCCGUUACCUCACCAACUAGCUAAUCAGACGCGGGCCGCUCUAAUGGCGAUAAAUCUUUCCCCCGAAGGGCACAUUCGGUAUUAGCACAAGUUUCCCUGAGUUAUUCCGAACCAAAAGGCACGUUCCCACGUGUUACUCACCCGUCCGCCACUAACUCCGAAGAGUUCGUUCGACUUGCAUGUGUUAGGCCUGCCGCCAGCGUUCGCUCUGAGCCAGGAUCAAACUCU